rnacentral:lncRNA from 1 species
UCCCCUUCUACAGGGAGGUUUGUGUCUGGGCUCACACUGAGGUCGCCUCACAGUGUCCUUCACACAGUAAUACACGGCUGUGUCCUCGGCUCUCAGGCUGUUCAUCUGCAGAUACAGCGUGUUCUUGGCAUUGUCUCUGGAGAUGGUGAAUCGGCCCUUCACAGCGUCUGCGUAGUAUGUGCUACUUCCAUCACUGCUAAUCCGUGCGACCCACUGAAGCCCCUUCCCUGGAGCCUGGCGGACCCAGUACAUGUAGUAGCUACUGAAGGUGAAUCCAGAGGCCACACAGGACAGUCUCAGGGACCCCCCAGGCUUCACCAGGUCUCCCCCAGACUCCACCAGCUGCACCUCACCCUGGACACCUGUAGACACAAGACAUCCUGGUCAGGAAACUCCCACAUCCUGUUUCUCUCACUCACAUCCACUCACAGACUCAAGGUCUCUUGUUCUCCAUGAAUUACCUUUUAAAAUAGCGACAAGGAAAACCCAGCAGAACACAGACUCCAUGGUGGUGUCUCUGUUGUGUCCUGAGCACCGAAUCGGGUCACCUGGGGAUCCUGGGGCUGGAGCUCCUCUCCCAGCUGCAGGGUCGGGGCUGGGUAUGUUUAAUCAGUGCAGGAAGGGCCUUAUUUGCAUGUCCCUGACUAUAUAGUCACCUACCAACUUAGAUUCAAUUCUUAAUAAGUUAUAUACAAAGAUUGCUUCACAAGCCCAGAUCAGUUUCUUUCGGUUUCACAGUAGAUUUAUGAUAUUCUAAUCCAUCAAUGUAUUAAUCUUUGCAUUUCUGUUCCUUUUUAAAGGUAUAUCUUUAGUACAGGUCAUUUUUAAGCAGUAUUUU